UGAGGAAUAUUGGUCAAUGGGCUAAGGCCUGAACCAGCCAAGUCGCGUGAGGGAAGACGGUCCUAUGGAUUGUAAACCUCUUUUGUCGGGGAGCAACGAGGCCACGUGUGGCCGAAGUGAGAGUACCCGAAGAAAAAGCAUCGGCUAACUCCGUGCCAGCAGCCGCGGUAAUACGGAGGAUGCGAGCGUUAUCCGGAUUUAUUGGGUUUAAAGGGUGCGUAGGCGGAACAUUAAGUCAGCGGUAAAAUCGAGGGGCUCAACCCCUUUAAGCCGUUGAAACUGGUGAUCUUGAGUGGGCGAGAAGUAUGCGGAAUGCGUGUUGUAGCGGUGAAAUGCAUAGAUAUCACGCAGAACUCCGAUUGCGAAGGCAGCAUACCGGCGCCCGACUGACGCUGAGGCA
rnacentral:rRNA from 1 species